rnacentral:rRNA from 1 species
GACGAACGCUGGCGGCGUGCUUAACACAUGCAAGUCGAGCGGUAAGGCCCUUCGGGUACGACGAGCGGCGAACGGGUGAGUAACACGUGGGUGACCUGCCUCUAGCUCUGGGAUAAGCCUGGGAAACUAGGGUCGUAAUACCGGAUAUGACUCCACGGCGCAUGUUGUGGGGUGGAAAGCCUUGUGUGGCUAGAGAUGGGCCCGCGGCCUAUCAGCUUGUUGGUGGGGUGAUGGCCUACCAAGGCGACGACGGGUAGCCGGCCUGAGAGGGCGACCGGCCACACUGGGACUGAGACACGGCCCAGGCUCCUACGGGA